rnacentral:rRNA from 1 species
UUCAGCCCAACAAGUAUUGAAGGUGAUGCCUACCCAGUGAAGCAUGUUCAACGGCCGCGGUAUCCUAACCGUGCGAAGGUAGCGCAAUCAAUUGUCCCAUAAAUCGAGACUUGUAUGAAUGGCUAAACGAGGUCUUAACUGUCUCUUACAGAUAAUCAGUGAAAUUGAUCUCCCUGUGCAAAAGCAGGAAUGUACACAUAAGACGAGAAGACCCUGUGGAACUUAAAAAUCAGCAGCCACCCCACAACAAAACCCAGCCCACUAGGCCCACCGCUAGCAAGAUGUUGGCUCGCAUUUUUUCGGUUGGGGCGACCUUGGAGAAAAGUAAAUCCUCCAAAAACAAGACCACUCCAUCUUAACUAAGAGCAACCCCUCGACGUAGUAACAGUAACCAGACCCAAUACAAUUGAUCAAUGGACCAAGCUACCCCAGGGAUAACAGCGCAAUCUCCUCCAAGAGCCCAUAUCGACGAGGAGGUUUACGACCUCGAUGUUGGAUCAGGACAUCCCUAAGUGGUGCAGCCGCUAUUAAGGGUUCGUUUGUUCAACGAUUAAGAGUCCUAC